rnacentral:rRNA from 1 species
UACAGAGGGUGCAAGCGUUAAUCGGAAUUACUGGGUGUAAAGCGUGCGUAGUCGGUUAUCUAAGUCGGGUGUGAAAUCCCCGGGCUCAACCUGGGAAUUGCAUUCGAUACUGGAUAGCUAGAGUUCGGCAGAGGGAAGCGGAAUUUCGGGUGUAGCGGUGAAAUGCGUAGAUAUCCGAAGGAACAUCAGUGGCGAAAGCGGCUUCCUGGACCAGAACUGACGAUCAGGCACGAAAGCGUGGGGAGCAAACAGG